UUGAGCUUACAUUGGAUCAUAGUUGAUCUUCCACUCGAAGAUGUCUUAUCAGGCAUAUCUGAAGUUUAAUUUGGAUAUGGCUAUGUGGGCUUUUUGGGCCAAGAAGAUUUUUAGAGAGUUGAGCAGUGUUGUGUUUUAAAAAAGCCUACCUAUCAAAACUUUAGGUACCUUUUACUCAGGGUAUGUUUUUGCGUUCUAAGUGUGAAAAGCAUAAGUUUUGUGGAAUUGGAUCUUUUACAUAUUUGUGCUAUAAAAUCUUGUUGGAAGAUUUAGGAACCCUCAAGGCCUCAUGAUAUAUUUUUGCAUACCAUAGGCACCCUCAGGACCCCC
rnacentral:lncRNA from 1 species